UUCCAUUUCGUUUUUCACAGCCGCUGAAAGAUGAAUGAGAGACAAAACUCGAAGCAUGUAAGCGAGUUGAUGUUAAAGUGUGGCGUUAAUUAAAAAUAUGCAGUCAGCCUACAUGUUUUAAAAAGCGUUAAUAUUAAAUAAAUGUCUCUGCGGAUGAAUAUAUGUCAUCUUGUCUGGACUGAUAUUUGUCAGCGGCUUUGCCUGUUUAAACAGAGUCACACAAACAAAUACAAGGCCAAAGCCAUUAAAUCCAUAUAAAAUAAAUUCCGGUAAUAAAUAUACCAGUUAAUAAUUAGGAAAGAAGCAGCUGAAAAAGCCGAAAGACUGAAACACCUCCAGCACGCUGAGAAGUGGGAGAUGCACAUCAGUUUAGCUCCAUGAGGUUGUUCCCGCAUUUCCUACAGCACAUGAAGGCAGCAGCCGUGUGUGUACGUCGUGAGCACGAUAAGGACUAUGGGUAAGCUGCAGCAUGGGGUGAGUUGCAUAAGGUUACCAUAGGUAACAACAGUGACAGCGCUGGCUGUUUGAGACCCACCCUGUGGCGCCGCGUCCUCCUCCUGAUGCAGCGUAUCGUCAGGCUCGCUUCCUGCCGGGAGCUCAGCGGCCUCGCGGGGCGUUCGCCCGACCUCUGCGCCUGGAAGAGGGGCCGGAUCUGUAGCCGUAAGUCGGCCAUGCACCGGCAGUGGGCGGAGGGCUGUGCUCGUCCCUUCAGCGGGGAGUCCGGCGCGCAGGGCCGGCGGAUGUGCAGGCAGAGGUUCGUGAUGGCCGGUCAGACACUCAGACAGUUCAGCUCAGAGCCGGGAGCCGAUGGGCCGCAGGGGAACCGCAGUGGUCAACCCGCCAUCUCCGUGGUCGGCAUCCCGGAUCCGAUUACAUUUAUCCGCUGUAAAGUCAUCAUGUAUCUCACCAAGCUGUACUUUGAUGUAGACAUCAACUCUGUGGAGUUUGACAGAGGAGUCAAGCAGGCUUUGGUCCACGUCUCCAACUUGAUGGCCAGUGGCAGAUACCACAGGCUGGUGGACAUAGUGUCCAGUGAGAUGAUGGAGCACGUGGAGAAGAAGUGCAGGUCUCUCAGCGAUGCUCAGAGGCAGCAGCUAGCGGUUACAAUGGAUGAUAUUGUAUUUGUGCUGCCCGAAGACGUGUCUGUCGUCUUCGAUCAAUACGACAGGAAGUUCUGCUUCGUCGUCAUGAGGUUUUGGAUUCUGUCAACACACGAAGGCCCCGAUGACCCCGAAGGCACAAAGAUGUUCAAGGUGGCCCCUAGUAAAGAUGGCGGUCCACAGAAGAAGAUGGCGACCGCGGUCUACGAAUCUUUGAAUCCCCUCUGAGAAAGCCUGUUACACUUCAAAUGUUAUCCCAAAGGCUAGCAAACAGGCAGUUUGGCAGGAUAAGGAAGAACAUUGUUUUCAAGGUUCCAGAGGGAGCUGACGAGGGGAGCCUCUCCUGACUGGACUGUCACGACUGUUUGGCACUGGCAGUGGAAAGCAGCUGAGUGAUUUGACUCGACGCCGCGAGGCCAUUUGUCAGUCAACAGGAGACAGCAAGGGGGGUAGUGUUUGGCUGAAUUUACUUAUUUGUAAAAGACAACAUGACACCGGACCACAGGCACAGCAGCCACAAGACUGAUUGUUGAAUGAACCGACUGUCUGCGAGGAUCACAUGAAACGGGACCCAGAGCCGCAACACUAAAGCUGAGCAGAUGACUGAAGACCUCAUAACUUUAGAAAUAAACCCGUCUUAGUACUUGAAGUCAUCCUUAGACCCUGAGAUGCCUUUAAAGCCUCCUUUCAGUGCUGAUGUUACACAGCAGGGGAACUUGAUUUUUUUUUUUUUUGCCAAACUUCUAUUUUCUUAAGGUCAAGAAUGAACUGUGACACUGAAGUCUGCAGUUUUUUUGUACAUUGUAUAAAUAAAUUGCUUCAUCAUAUCAAGAAGGUUUGCCAUUGAUCCCUCACCGUCAAGACCUUCCUUUUUAUAACUUCUGUACA